AAGCGUGGAACUGAAAGCCUAUCUAGGAAUUUGCAGGUGAUGUAUGUUUUGUCGCUGGACAAGUCAAAUCUGGCUGUUUCAAAAUAUCAGGCUGAGUGCAUGGAUGCUAAAGGAUUAGUAGAAACCAUCAAACUUCAACGGGUUGUCAACGUCUCUCUUGAGUACCCUUUCAAGGAUCUUGGGAUUGCUGAAAACUUUAUAUUACAAGGCUUGAGCAAUAAUUCUUACCUUUGUUUUUUGUAUUUGGUUUUUCCCUUUUCUAGUUGUUUUGUUUUUUUAAUCACAAAUUUUCUUUUCUUAUUAGAAGUUAGAACAGCUUAUAUAUCAUAUUAAAUGAAGUAAAGUGCAAGAAACAUUUAUCAUUUUACAUUUCUAGUUGAAAUUCAAGAUAUAUUUAUUCUAAUUCUGAUAUACUUUUCUUCCAUUUGAUGUUCUUACCUACCAGAAGGAUCACAAUGAUAACUAGUUUACUUGUUGGAAAUGGCAAACUGAACUAUGGAGUGAGUGACUUCAAGGAAAAAUGUUGUAGAAGAUCUUCAUGGAUCACCAGCAUGACUUUUAGCAUAUGCAUACAGAAAGAAAUUUCAUGAUAUGCUAAGGAUCUUAGUACUAAAAACAAUUUACAUGUACUAAAUCUUACUAGCUAGGGGUAUGUUAUAGCUUAAAUCUUAAGCUGGAUAUGUAUUUAGUUUAUCCACUUAAUUAUGCUAUAUAACAACUAUGCAAUGUUCUAUA